GAGACAGAGAGAGACAGACAGAGAGAGAGAGAGAGAGAGAGAGAGAGAGAGAGAGAGAGAGAGAGAGAGAGAGAGAGAGAGAGAGAGAGAGAGAGAGAAAGGAGCGCACACUAUGCGGUGGAAUAUUUUUGGAUUCCCUCUCCCCUGUCUUAACCGUCAGUGUUUACAUGAAGAGGAUUUUGGUAAGCUAUUAUGAGAGAGGGAAAGAUAGAUGUGACUGUGACUGGCUGUAAUUCACAGGUACAGGCGUUUGGCUGAAGAUCUUGGAAGAGACUAUUGCGCACUUUGCGUGAAAGAGUCAGCUCUUGGAAAUGGUUGCGGGAGGGGCACACAUUGUCUAUUCUGAAAUGGUUAAAACAAUUCGAGGCCAGUCUCAAAUGACGACUUCUGACUGAAGCAUAAAGUUGUGGGAGCUGCACAUAUAGGCCAACUGCACAUGAAACAAGUGAAUCCGACAAGUCAUGAAGUUAUGCAGAUAACACCGCAUCUGAGAAAGAACUUGUUACCCAUCACCCCCGACUCAACCCAAUACAGCUUUGAAAAAGCACAGCCUGUGAGGCAGUUUGAGGACUUCCCUUUGGACAACAGCCCUGAGACCAAUAUAAAUCUGACAAUAACUGACUAAUUAACACAAUAGAUAACAAUACAGUUUCUUCCGGAGUUUUACUGACUUUGUGAGUACUAAAUCCAACCAACUUCUCCUCUGCAGUAGCAUAGAGCCAGCAAGCUCCCUUCCCUUCCCAGCUAUGGCUCCCCCUAGCCGUGCUUCCAUAUUUCCUUGUUUAUGCACAGCAUAAUGGCCUGACCCUCCCUUCUCUAUAACAUUAUACAGACACCACCUAGCACCUGAAAACCUAAAUUUUUCUGGAUAUAUUUUGAGAUUAGUCUCUAUAUACCCCAUAUUCAUCCAAUGGCACCCUAACCAUAGUGGAACAGAGCUUUUCUUACCUUUACAAAGUGCCUCUCUCUAUACCUCUCUCUCUCCAAAGUCCCAACCUCGAUAGCCUCCUUCUUCUUCCCAGAAAUCCCUGCAAAAGGGGCACUUCCAUGUAAGUUGAAUGUGUAGGGGUGCUCAUUUUGGACUCAACCAUUACUGUAAAAUACAGAAGGCCCCAGAUGCUCAGUAAGGGCCUAUUUGGGUACAUAGUCCCACAGGCGCCAACAUGUCCCUUUCAAACGGUAUGACACUGGCCCUAUAGUAAAUAACCCUCCCCUAACUCCCUCUGUCCUCCCCCCCAAUGGCUUUCACAUCAUAUGGCCCAUCCACCAGUCAUACAGCCAAUGCUGAGAAGCAAUUGUAACAUGCUGCACAAAUGAGCUCUCAGAGAGUUUCCACUGGGUUUUUGUGGAUUCACCAAGCCUUGGGGCCUCUUAGAGCUGCCCAAAAUCAUUGCUAGAGGAUAUUUUGGACACACAGAGACCCCUUUUUAUUGAGACAGACCAUUUGAAUGCAGAGGAAAAUAUUCUGGUGUGAAUAUGAUGCAAUCAAGGAAAAAGAGAGCACUGUCUCCAAGUGUCCCUCUCCAAAAGUGCAGAGAUGUAUCCACUGGGACAAGGAGCUUUCCACUCACACAAUGAGAAGGGGUGGCGGAUGACAAAUGCCAAUUUUGGGGUCCGCGCUUUGAAAGCCCAACAGGUAAGCUCACUAAUUGACAGGACACAUUGCAGUGCAUAAGGUAAGGACUUCAUUCUUGUUCAAAACUAUAUGUAUAUACUUAAAUAAAAUAUAUUUUAAAAAUAUUUUAAGAUGUAAUAUAUCAUCUCAAACUGAAAUUAUACAUAUUUACCAUAUAUUCUACAAUAUACACCUACCACUUUAUUAUAAUAUUUUUUUCAGCACUAGCCUAUACUAGCUUACAGUUGAGAGCAUGGUCCUGAAACAAGAUAACAUGCUAAUGUUUUUAAAAUAAACUUAUCAGAAAAUGAACAAAGCAUAGCCUAGCAGUUUAAGACUUGACUGAACCCAAUUUGAUAUAGCCUACCUGAAUAAGCAGCUAUAUAUCAGGAUCUGACAGUAGGCAUCAUCAAGACAUGAAAUGAGUAUGCUUUAAAAAUUGCCAAGGUAGAAGUGGUGUGAAAAACAAAUGCCAGUACUUGGUUUCCUGCGAGUCCAGACUUGAGAUGAUCUUUGUCCUAAAACAAUAAUCCCCCAAACCAGUCGUCAACUGCCCAAAGCAACAGCAGAUCAAUCCAAACCUUCAGUAUCAAAAUAGAGCGUUAAAACGUAGUCUUCAUUUUAAAACUUUGAAUAACAAACGCCUAAACACCUACCCAGAACGAAUAUCGGCACUACAGCACAGAUAUGCUAUUUAAAAUGAAUCAUGUAUUCGUAAACAAUGUUAGAUUAUAUUUAAUCGAAUUAUAAUGAGACACUAGGUACAUUCAGAAUAUGGAGACAGGCUUCAGCGCAGGAUUGGAGAUGUCAGCUGCUGGCGCGCGCCUGUCGCUUUUGUUCACGAGAACAGUCGCAGCUGUCUGACUAGAAUAGAGCACAUUUGUGAGCGGAAUAAGAACAAAUAACAGAAAUGAACUGGUAAUUUAUCUGAACAGUAGCCAAUAGCCAUGGUGGUAGUAAGCUUCAUAUUUUAGUUGUCUGUCGGCGGUUUGAAUGCGUAAAUAUUUACAUGUAGGCCUACACAAACCUGGACGUUGCGAAAGAUGGACGCCCUUGUUGAUGGGGGUUUGUUUGCAGACAGGCAGACCAUUGCAUGGGCUACAAGGGAAAAGCUAACCUAAAUGCCGGUGCAUACUAUUCGACAAAUUAGGCAUCUUAUAAGAGCAUAUGAUUUGAGCAUUUUACAUUUUAAACCAUUCCUUCUAGCUACCUAAAGUUGAAUUAUACAUAAGGGAUUAAUGCAAGGCUAAAUGUCGCCUUUCACUACAAGUCGUAACACAUAUCAAUAAAAUCCAUCAAUAUCUGCAGUGUAACAGUAUCGCAUUCCCAUUAUGAUAUGAGGCAGUGCAGAGCAGGCUAUGUGGCUACGCUAUGUUCUGCGUGCGUAAAACACGCGCCAACGUCACAACGCUUCUACAUAGGAACAGAGCAUAUGGAUGAAAUACAGUAAUACAGUAAUGAAUGGCUUGGGGGUGGUCAGGAGGUGGGCUUGGCUCCUGUUCAUUAGUUGGAGAAUUUUGCAUUUUUCAAACACAUUAAACAUAUUUGUCUUGCUAUCUACAGCCAUAAUCACUACGCUAAAUUCUAUGUUAAACACUUUUGUUUUUCUGCAUAUCUAAGCAUACCUUUUGAGCUGUCUGUAUACUCCUGGUUAUUCUUUAAAAAAACGAAAUAUGCUUCUCUGCAUCUCUGCUAAAAUAUGGGUAAAAUAUUGAAAGGAAUGUGAGUCUUAUUCAGUACAUUUAGUUAUUGCUUGCUUUUCUAAAGUCUACCAAUCUUGCCAGCAGGCAUGCCAGCGAAGAUGAUAGUUAGACAAGCUAGCUACUCUAACUUGAUUGAUUGCCUCAACCUAUCUGGGAUAGCUAAAGCCAACAUCAAAUUGCUAGGUGGCUAGUAGUUUUGAAUUUAAUUGUUUUAUUAAAUUCAGAUUGUGUGUCACUUAUCUACACAGAAUACCCCAUAAUGUCAAAGUGGAAUUGUGUUUUUAGAAAUGUUAACAAAUUAAUUGAAAAAAUAAACUUGAGUCAAAGUAUGCAAUCUUUUUGUAAUGGCAAGCCUAAAUAAGUUGAGAGGUAAAAAUGUGCUUAACAAGUCACAUAAUAAGUUGCCUGGACUCGCUCUGUAUACAAUGAUACUGUAUAACAUGACUACCCAAUCUCUGUACCUCACACAUACAAUUAUCUGUAAGGUCCCUAAGUCGAGCAGUGAAUUUCAAGCACAGCUUCAACUACAAAGACAAGGGGGGUUUUCUAUGUUUUGCAAAGAAGGGCACAUAUUGGAAGAAGGGUAAAAAACUCAAAUUUAAAAAAGCAGACAUUGAGCAUUGUGCAGUUAUUAAUUGUACACAUUAGAUGGUGUAUCAAUACACCCAGUCACUACAAAGAUACAGGCAUCCUUCUUAAAUCAGUUGCCGGAGAGGAAGGACACCACUCUUGGAUUUCACCAUGAGGCCAAUGGUGACUUAAAAACAGUAACAGAGUUUAAUGGCUGUGAUAGGAGAUAACUGAGGAUGGAUCAACAACAUCGUUACUCGGCAACAGUAACAUAAAUUACAGAGUGAAAAGAAGGAAGUCUGUACAGAAUAACAAAUAUUCCAAAACAUGCAUCCUGUUUGCACUAAAGUAAUACUGCAGAAAAUGUGGCAAAUACAUACACUUUUUGUCCUGAAUAAAAAGUGUUAUGUUUGGGCAAACCCAACACAUCACUGAGUACCACUCUUCAUAUUUUCAAGAAUGGUGGUAGCUGCGUCAUGUUAUGGGUUGGAAAGAACUAGGGAGGUUUUUUUUUGUUGAUAAAAGAAACGAAAUAGAGCUAAGCACAGGCAAAAUCCUUGAGGAAAACCUGGUUCAGUCUGCUUUCCAACAGACACUGGGAGACAAAUUAACAUUUCUACAGGACAAUAAUCUUAAACACAAGGUCAAAUAUGUACUGGAGUUGCUUACCAAGACGUCAUUGAAUGUUCCUGAGUGGCUUAGUUACAGUUUUGACUUAAAUCAUCAGCUUGAAAAUCUAUGGCAAGACUUGAAAAUCGCAGUCUAGCAGUGAUCAAUAACCAACUUGACAGAGCUUGACACAUUUUUUAAAGAAUAAUGGGCAAGUAUUGUACAAUCCAGGUGUACAAAUCUCUUAGAGGCUUUCCCAGAAAGACUCACAGCUGUAAUCCCUGCCCACGGUGAUUCUAACAUAAAUUGACUCAAGGAGUUUAAUACUUAUCUAAUCAAGAUAUGUUAGUGUUUUAUUUUCCAUUAAUACAAAAUAUAUAUACUUUUUCUUCCCCUGACAUAACAGGGUAUUUUGUGUAUAUCAUUGACCAAAAAAUGACAAUGAAAUCAAUUUGAAUUCCACUUUGUAACAAAACAAAAUGUGGAAAAAGUUGAGUGUGAAUACCAUCUGAAGGUACUGUAUAUACUGUAUAUAAUGUAAAUAUCUUUAAACAGGACAAAUCCGAGGGGAGCAUGUUCCCCUGUGACCCAUUUGGGCAUGACACCUCUGCUAUUUAUAUUUGUGUUAUUGUUAUAAUAAACAAUGGGAAAAUAAAUACACAAGAGCAAUAUUUCAGGUUAAGGUUCUUCUGUCCAUGAUAUGCCAUACAUGUUGAUGUUUCUAUGUUCAUUUUGAUGUUUUCUAUAAGCACUAGGGCUAGGCAACGGAAGAUGGAUCCUACAUGCAAUAGAUUAUUACAAAUUACAUACACUGGCGAUACUCUAUGCUGCUUUAGUGACGAUAUUCAAUGCAACAUUGUACAGAGAUUUUUUUUUGUCAAUAAAAUUUAAUAUUUCAAGAUG